rnacentral:rRNA from 1 species
CUUUUGUUUGACCUCGGAUCAGGUAGGGAUACCCGCUGAACUUAAGCAUAUCAAUAAGCGGAGGA